rnacentral:rRNA from 1 species
CACGAACGCUGGCGGCGUGCCUAAUACAUGCAAGUCGAGCGGAAGUUGGAGAGCUUGCUCUUCAACUUUAGCGGCGGACGGGUGAGUAACACGUGGGCAACCUGCCCUGCAGAUCGGUAUAACUCCGGGAAACCGGUGCUAAUACCGAAUAGUUUUCGCCACCUCCUGGUGGCGUACGGAAAGACGGUUUCGGCUGUCACUGCAGGAUGGGCCCGCGGCGCAUUAGCUAGUUGGUGGGGUAACGGCCCACCAAGGCAACGAUGCGUAGCCGACCUGAGAGGGUGAUCGGCCACACUAGGACUGAGACACGGCCCAGACCCCUACGGGAGGCAGCAGUAGGGAAUCUUCCGCAAUGGACGAAAGUCUGACGGAGCAACGCCGCGUGAGUGACGAAGGUUUUCGGAUCGUAAAACUCUGUUGUGAGGGAAGAAUAAGUACCAACUAACUACUGGUACCUUGACGGUACCUCACCAGAAAGCCACGGCUAACUACGUGCCAGCCGCCGCGGUAAGAC